UUGAACGUGGCGGCAGGCCUAACACAUGCAAUCGAGCGGAUGAAGGGAGCUUGCUCCUGGAUUCAGCGGCGGACGGGUGAGUAAUGCCUAGGAAUCUGCCUGGUAGUGGGGGAUAACGUCCGGAAACGGGCGCUAAUACCGCAUACGUCCUGAGGGAGAAAGUGGGGGAUCUUCGGACCUCACGCUAUCAGAUGAGCCUAGGUCGGAUUAGCUAGUUGGUGGGGUAAAGGCCUACCAAGGCGACGAUCCGUAACUGGUCUGAGAGGAUGAUCAGUCACACUGGAACUGAGACACGGUCCAGACUCCUACGGGAGGCAGCAGUGGGGAAUAUUGGACAAUGGGCGAAAGCCUGAUCCAGCCAUGCCGCGUGUGUGAAGAAGGUCUUCGGAUUGUAAAGCACUUUAAGUUGGGAGGAAGGGCAGUAAGUUAAUACCUUGCUGUUUUGACGUUACCAACAGAAUAAGC
rnacentral:rRNA from 1 species